rnacentral:rRNA from 1 species
GACGAACGCUGGCGGCGUGCCUAAUACAUGCAAGUCGAGCGCAGGAAGCUGACGGAACUCUUCGGAGAGAAGGCAGUGGAAUGAGCGGCGGACGGGUAAGUAACACGUAAGGAACCUGCCUCAAGGAUUGGGAUAACUCCGAGAAAUCGGAGCUAAUACCGGAUAGUUCAACGGACCGCAUGGUCCGCUGAUGAAAGGCGCUUCGGCGUCACCUUGAGAUGGCCUUGCGGUGCAUUAGCUAGUUGGUGGGGUAACGGCCCACCAAGGCGACGAUGCAUAGCCGACCUGAGAGGGUGAUCGGCCACACUGGGACUGAGACACGGCCCAGACUCCUACGGGAGGCAGCAGUAGGGAAUCUUCCACAAUGGACGAAAGUCUGAUGGAGCAACGCCGCGUGAGUGAUGAAGGUUCUCGGAUCGUAAAACUCUGUUGUAAGGGAAGAACACGUACGAGAGGGAAUGCUCGUACCUUGACGGUACCUUACGAGAAAGCCACGGCUAACUACGUGCCAGCCGCCGCCGUAA